UUGUCUUCUUCCUCACUCACACCGAAACCCUUUCCCCCAAAUCUUUCCUACCGUUCACGCGCCCUUCAGCUCGCCGCCUCUAGCCACGAGAGUUUCGUCGCUGCCAGUCCGAGCCGUUGAAGACCGUCGUUCAAACUGCCUCCACCAGCCGUUGAAGGCCGUAGACCGCACGAGCCAAGCCAGUCGCCCGCGCCGCCGCCGUUCCAGCUUUUGACCGUUGUGUGCCGCACCAAUCUCGCCUGUUGGAGAAGCCAUCUGAUUUGCCACCGCCUGCUUCGCCCUCACGCCGCUCGAUCCGUCUAGUUUCGCUGCUGACCAUUCGCACGCCGCCAGCCCAGCCGCCGAUCUCCGUCGGUCACUACCUCCCUUCGCCGCUGUUUAUCAAGAUUUUGGCUUGUGGUGAAGUUUUGGAUUCAAGCAUUGAAGGAAUUUUAAGGUUGAAGUGUUUGUCAGACAUUGCACAGGAUUAAGUUGGGUUUCGCAAACGGAUUUAAGUUUGAAACUAAUUUUGGACCAAGCAACAUUUUGGAAAAGGUAAAGAUGUACCGGCGAUGGCAUAGUGGAAUUCGUGCUCGUGUCACUGGGACUAGACCUUUUCGCUUCCACAUCUUGAAAUCUGUUAUUUGGUUUUAUUGUUUAAAAUUUAUUACUAAGGAUUAUUUCUUUUAUAUGCCUUUGAUUAGCCUUUAAGAAUUUGGGU